AAGCAACUGUUUUUUUCUAUAUAAAUUUCUUUCAGCUAUAAGUUAGAACAUUUAUAAAUGUAAUUUUAAUUUAUUUUCUUGAUUUGACAAAAAAGUGCAGGUUAUAAUUGUAAAAACUACUUGCUUUACUAAAUUUGGUUUGAAAUUGUUUUAUAUAAUAACGGUAACUAAUCUAGCAACAAUAUGCUAGUAUUAGGAGCAUAACGGCCAUUUUACAUCAUUAGUCGAGUAUGUAGCUUUUUAAAAAUUUUUUCAAAAUAUUAAUACAAUAAAUACAGCUCUAAAGAUGGAAAUACGAGUACUUGACGUUUUGAAUUACAAUUUUUCAAACUGAAGCAAGACAAGAUCAUUGUUAACAGAUAUAAUAACAUACCACAAUGUUUUUAUUUUAAUUAAAUUUUUUCUAUACUUUUGUAAUUUAUAUACCUAUGGUUGAGUGAAUUCAACAAUGAAUAUUGCAUUCUAAAAAGCUUGUCAAAAUGUGCAAUCGUACAUUAAUGAUUAACAAUAAAUUAAUUUAUAUUCAUUUAGCUUAGAAUAUUUUAUUGCUCAUUUUUUCCUCAUUAGUAAAACUAAUUAAUUCUCUCAUUUAUAUGUGCAGUAACUUAGUAAAAAAAUGAUUUUAAAUAAAUGUUAUUGUUAAAAGGUGACUUUAAAAAAUUUUUUUCGUCAUUAAUAUUUAUUAGUAAAUAAUCUCAAUAAUUUUAUCUCACACCGAUGACUUGAAUUUUUUAAAGGUCCGAAUAAUCUGGAUCAAUCUAGUUCAAAGAAGCUAUAUAAUGGAUCCAUACAUUACGUUUUUCAACUGUAUUUCUCACUUCAACACUAUUUACACAUACACAAAUACAUGUGCAUGCAUACAAUGUAUAUAAAAUGUAAGAGAAACGAAACGUGACAAAAGGUCUAUGUCAAAUUAUGUUUUCAGCUUAAAUCCAAGUAAUUCUGAUAACACAGCCGAAAGUGCAGAAAGUAGAACCACUUUGGUUAUUGUGUACAAAUAAGGAUUGGCAGAAAGACCAGAAAUUUUAAAAGGACUUUCCAGUUCCUGAAAUAAAUACAUAAGUUAUUUGAUAUUAAACAAUUAAUAAAUUGUUUGAUGAUAAAUUAAUUUAUUUAAGAAAUAUUUCCUUGUUAGCUACCUUGAUCAAAUCAGCAGCUAAUUUUAGCACACUAUUAGCGACCAUGAGUUCAUCCUUUUUAUGAGGCUUUUGCUCUAUUUGUAGAUAAAGAUUGAUUUGCUCAGUUAUCAAUACAGAUAAAUUUCUAUAUUUUUUAUUAAUUUUUGUACCAAGUGUCAUAAAUCUUAGAAUAUAGAUUCCGAGAGCAAAGCUCCAAAACAGUGCUUCUAUAUUGUAUCUUGAAUGAAGACUCUCUAAAUCCUACAAUAAAUAUUGUUUAUUUUUCAAAA